rnacentral:tRNA from 1 species
GCCCAGUUCCAGCGCGGCCCGGUAGUGCCCGGCCGCCGCGGCCUGCCGGAACCAGUGCUCGCCGCCGUUCAGAUCGGCGUGCUCGGCG